AUUGAACGCUGGCGGCAGGCCUAACACAUGCAAGUCGAGCGAGCGGCGGACGGGUGAGUAAUGUCUGGGAAACUGCCUGCUGGAGGGGGAUAACUACUGGAAACGGUAGCUCAUACCCCAUACCAUCAGAUGUGCCCAGAUGGGAUUAGCUAGUAUGUGGGGUAACGGCUCACCUAGGCGACGAUCCCUAGCUGGUCUGAGAGGAUGACCAGCAACACUGGAACUGAGACACGGUCCAGACUCCUACGGGAGGCAGCAGUGGGGAAUAUUGCACAAUGGGCGCAAGCCUGAUGCAGCCAUGCCGCGUGUGUGAAGAAGGCCUUCGGGUUGUAAAGUACUUUCAGCAGGGAGGCGUUACCCGCAGAAGAAGCACCGGCUAACUCCGUGCCAGCAGCCGCGGUAAUAC
rnacentral:rRNA from 1 species